rnacentral:rRNA from 1 species
CCUACGGGGGGCAGCAGUCGAGAAUUUUUCUCAAUGGGCGAAAGCCUGAAGGAGCGACGCCGCGUGGGGGAUGAAUGGCUUCGGCCCGUAAACCCCUGUCAUUCGGGAUCUAGUACCGGAAGAGGAAGGGACGGCUAACUCUGUGCCAGCAGCCGCGGUAAUACAGAGGUCCCAAGCGUUGUUCGGAUUUACUGGGCGUAAAGGGUGCGUAGGUGGUUGGGUAAGUCUGAUGUGAAAUCUCCGGGCUCAGCCCGGAAAUGGCAUUGGAUACUAUUUGACUAGAGGGUUGGAGGGGGGACUGGAAUACUUGGUGUAGCAGUGAAAUGCGUAGAUAUCAAGUGGAACACCAGUGGCGAAGGCGAGUCCCUGGACAACCCUGACACUGAGGCACGAAAGCUAGGGGAGCAAACAGGAUUAGAUACCCUAGUAGUC